rnacentral:rRNA from 1 species
UACAGAGGGUGCAAGCGUUAAUCGGAAUUACUGGGCGUAAAGCGCACGCAGGCGGUUGGUUAAGUCAGAUGUGAAAGCCCCGGGCUCAACCUGGGAAUUGCAUUUGAAACUGGCCAACUAGAGUACGUGAGAGGGGGGUAGAAUUCCAAGUGUAGCGGUGAAAUGCGUAGAGAUUUGGAGGAAUACCAGUGGCGAAGGCGGCCCCCUGGCACGAUACUGACGCUCAGGUGCGAAAGCAUGGGGAGCAAACAGG